UGGGGAAUUUUGGACAAUGGACGCAAGUCUGAUCCAGCCAUGCCGCGUGCGGGAAGAAGGCCUUCGGGUUGUAAACCGCUUUUGUCAGGGAAGAAACGAGUUUCUCUAAUACAGAGACUUAAUGACGGUACCUGAAGAAUAAGCACCGGCUAACUACGUGCCAGCAGCCGCGGUAAUACGUAGGGUGCGAGCGUUAAUCGGAAUUACUGGGCGUAAAGCGUGCGCAGGCGGUUAUGUAAGACAGAUGUGAAAUCCCCGGGCUCAACCUGGGACCUGCAUUUGUGACUGUAUAGCUAGAGUACGGUAGAGGGGGAUGGAAUUCCGCGUGUAGCAGUGAAAUGCGUAGAUAUGCGGAGGAACACCGAUGGCGAAGGCAAUCCCCUGGACCUGUACCGACGCUCAUGCACGAAAGCGUGGGGAGCAAACA
rnacentral:rRNA from 1 species